AUUGAACGCUGGCGGCAGGCCUAACACAUGCAAGUCGAGCGAGUGGCGGACGGGUGUGUAAUGUAUGGGGACUGCCCCUUAGUGUGCGAUUACUACUUUAAACGGUAGCUAUUACCGCAUAUUAUCUCAUAACCCAUGUGGGAUUAGCUAGUUGGUGAGGUAAUGGCUCACAUAGUCGACGAGCCCUAGCUGGUCUGAGAGGAUGAUCAGCCACACUGGGACGGAGACACGGCCCAGACUCCUACGGAGGCAGCAGUGGGGAAUAUUGCACAAUGGGCGCAAGCCUGAUGCAGCCAUGCCGCGUGUAUGAAGAAGGCCUUAGGGUUGUAAAGUACUUUCAGUCGGGAGGCGUUACCGACAGAAGAAGCAACGGCUAACUACGGGCCAGCAGCCGCGGUAAUUC
rnacentral:rRNA from 1 species